GAUGAACGCUGGCGGCGUGCCUAAUACAUGCAAGUCGAGCGGACAGACCUGGUUCUUGCUCUUCUGACGUUACCGGCGGACGGGUGAGUCACACGUGGCUAACCUACCUCUUUGACUGGGAUAACUUCGAGAAACCGGAGCUCAUACCAGAUACUCUUUUUAACCGCAUGGUUCAAUAGUGAAUGACGGUUUUGCUGUCACCUAUCGGCUGAUCCGCGGCGCAUUAGCUAGUUGGUUAGGUAACGGCUUACCAAGUCAACGAUGCGUAGCCGAGCUGGGCGGGUGAUGGGCGACACUGGGAGUGAGAGACCGUCCAGAGACCUACGGGAGGCAGCAGUAGGGAAUGUUGCGCGAUGGGCGGAAGACUGACGGAGCAACGCCGCGUGAGUGAUGAAGGGCUGCGGGUCGUAAAACUCUGUUAGGAGGGAAGAACGAAUGUGCAAAUAACGAAGCACGGCGUGACGGUACCGAAUCAGGAAGCCACGGCUAACUACGUG
rnacentral:rRNA from 1 species